UGCAUGUCACGUCAUUUGUAUGAUGGAACAAAGAAUAGUGCUUGCUUAGGCUCCCUAAGAAAACAACACAGAGGAAUGAACAUCAAGGAACUGUCAGUAAAAUGUGUAAGUAGCUGCUUCAAUGUGAAGAGUGCAGGAGGAAAAGUUACCACACUAUUGCUGGGACAAGCUGCAGCAAGAGAAUGGAAAAUGACAAAGGUGAAGUCACUCCCUUAAGUGAUAGAGAGCACAAACUGUUGUACCAUGUAAGUGACCUCAAACACCAGAAUUGUAUGAAGCAGUCAGUGGGAAGUGUCUCACUCCAGAGGUCACUGUGUUCUCUCAUGGAAGCAAGGCUCUAUAAUGUGCAUAUGGCCAUUUCUCCAUGGAGGACAGGCUAAGAUAGCUUGCAUCUGGGCACCCUGAAGCAGGUCCGAGCACACCAAGCAACUCUCUGCAGGGACAUGCUUUGUGUAGCUGUGUCAUAGGAAACACACUUUAUCAGCUCUCUCUGUACCUCCUCUAACACCUCCUGGUUUUACUUUUUAAAUACAGAAGAAGGGAAAAAAGAUACUAUUAUUAUUCACCUCCCUAACAGAAUAACUACUAUAAAUAGUUUAUGAAAGUAGUGGGUGCAGUUUAUUGGAUAGAUUCAUACAAAGAAAGGACCUUGAAGUUCAAUGGAGUGAAAUGCUCAUUAACAAUGAUCACAUAUGAGCAUAUACAAAUACACUAUGUAUCCGCCAAAUACUGAUUAAUGAACUGAAAGAUUAAUUGUAAAAUGGGUAAAUAAAAAGCUGGAGAAUCACUAAGUUAGAAUGCUGCAUAUGCACUAAAAAUGAUUUGAUGUAUUUGUCAAUAACUGUAAAAUAUUAGACUCACCUUUGAGAAU